GAUGAACGCUGGCGGCGUGCCUAAUACAUGCAAGUCGAGCGAACGGACGAGAAGCUUGCUUCUCUGAUGUUAGCGGCGGACGGGUGAGUAACACGUGGAUAACCUACCUAUAAGACUGGGAUAACUUCGGGAAACCGUAGCUAAUACCGGAUAAUAUUUUGAACCGCAUGGUUCAAAAGUGAAAGACGGUCUUGCUGUCACUUAUAGAUGGAUCCGCGCUGCAUUAGCUAGUUGGUAAGGUAGCGGCUUACCAAGGCAACGAUGCAUAGCCGACCUGAGAGGGUGAUCGGCCACACUGGAACUGAGACACGGUCCAGACUCCUACGGGAGGCAGCAGUAGGGAAUCUUCCGCAAUGGGCGAAAGCCUGACUGAGCAACGCCGCGUGAGUGAUGAAGGUCUUCGGAUCGUAAAACUCUGUUAUUAGGGAAGAACAUAUGUGUAAGUAACUGUGCACAUCUUGACGGUACCUAAUCAGAAAGCCACGGCUAACUACGUG
rnacentral:rRNA from 1 species